rnacentral:rRNA from 1 species
AUGCACUCGAGCGGUAACAGGAGAAAGCUUGCUUUCUUGCUGACGAGCGGCGGACGGGUGAGUAAUACACGUAUGGGGAUCUGCCCGAUAGAGGGGGAUAACUACUGGAAACGGUGGCUAAUACCGCAAGACGUCUACGGACCAAAGCAGGGGCUCUUCGGACCUUGCGCUAUCGGAUGAACCCAUAUGGGAUUAGCUAGUAGGUGGGGUAAAGGCUCACCUACGCGACGAUCUCUAGCUGGUCUGAGACGAUGAUCAGCCACACUGGGACUGAGACACGGCCCAGACUCCUACGGGAGGCAGCAGUGGGGAAUAUUGCACAAUGGGCGCAAGCCUGAUGCAGCCAUGCCGCGUGUAUGAAGAAGGCCUUAGGGUUGUAAAGUACUUUCAGCGGGGAGGAAGGUGAUAAGAUUAAUACUCUUAGCAAUUGACCUUACCCGCAGAAGAAGCACCGGCUAACUCCGUGCCAGCAGCCGCGGUAAUACGGAGGGUGCAAGCGUUAAUCGGAAUUACUGGGCGUAAAGCGCACGCAGGCGGUCAAUAAAGUCAGAUGUGAAAGCCCCGAGCUUAACUUGGGAAUUGCAUCUGAAACUGGUUCGCUAUACCACAUUAGAGGGGGGUAGAAUUCCACGUGUAGCGCUGAAAUGCGUAGAGAUGUGGAGGAAUACCGGUGGCGAAGGCGGCCCCCUGGACAAAGACUGACGCUCAGGUGCGAAAAGCGUGGGGGAGCAAACAGGGAUUAGAUACCCCUGGGUAGUCCACGCUGUAAAACGAUGUCGAUUUAGAGGUUGUGGUCUUGAAACCGUGGGCUUCUGGGAGCUAAACGCGUUAAAAUCGAACCGCCCUGGGGACUACGGCCCGCAAGGGUUAAAAACUCCAAAUGAAAUUGACGGGGGCCCGCACAAGCGGGUGGAAGCAUGGUGGGUUUAAAUUCGAAUGCAACGCGAAGAACCUUACCUACACUUGACAUCCAGCGAAUCCUUUAGAGAUAGAGGAGUGCCUUCGGGAACGCUGAGACAGGUGCUGCAUGGCUGUCGUCAGCUCGUGUUGUGAAAUGUUGGGUUAAGUCCCGCAACGAGCGCAACCCUUAUCCUUUGUUGCCAGCGCGUGAUGGCGGGAACUCAAAGGAGACUGCCCGUGAUAAACCGUACCACAUUGGGGAUGACGUCAAGUCAACAUGGCCCUUACGAGUAGGGCUACACACGUGCUACAAUGGCAGAUACAAACAGAAGCGACCUCGCGAGAGCAAGCGGAACUCAUAAAGUCUGUCGUAGUCCGGAUUGGAGUCUGCAACUCGACUCCAUGAAGUCGGAAACGCUAGUAAUCGUAGAUCAGAAUGCUACGGUCAAUACGUUCCCGGGCCUUGUACACACCGCCCGUCACACCAAGGGAGUGGGUUGCAAAAGAAGUAGCUAGCUUAACCUUCGGGAGGCCGCUUACCACAU